rnacentral:tRNA from 1 species
GGAGAGAUGGCCGAGUGGCUUAAGGCAACAGGUUGCUAACCUGUGACGGCUAAUACCCGUCUCGUGGGUUCGAAUCCCACUCUCUCCG